GGAGAUACUGCUUUCCUUCCAUGACAUUAGCAGUGAAGACAGCAAGCAUGCAGGGUGCCACAGUACUAACGGGGGUGAAACUAUCUCCUUCGUGAAUCUGCUCCUGCCUUUCCUAGAGCACAACCAGCCUCAAACCUCACUUCACCCAGCAGAAGGCUCUUUCCCUCUCCUACCCCUUUUAUAGCAAGAAUGAGUCCUGAAAAUCUUGGAAGAUCAGUGUGGGCCUCAAAAAUGGCUAUGGAUUUCACUGGGCUGUUCUUAUUUUCUCCAGAUAUUGGGAUUAAUUUCUUUUUAGAAGGGACUGAGUAAGCAACCAUUAAAGAAUGAAAAACAUCCGUGUCUUGAUUUAUAGUGAGGGAAACAAAUAACAGCACAGUACUUCCUUCUCUUGUCCCAAUUCCAUUGUCUGUAAAUUGUACUAUAAAAGAGUUCAGAGUCCAGGGCAUGCUUUUCAAAAUAUAGUCUAUACUGCAGUGGUGCUGUGGACUGCUUUCUUUGGGAGGAGAUAUUCCCCUGUGACCUCUCAUCUCAUUUCAGCCUUCAACUUUUGUUCUUCUAAGCUUAGGGCUGGACUGGAUGGCCAUAGCAGUCUCUUACUCACAGACUCUUAAGUUUUUAAGCCAGCAUCAGAAAGCAUACUUGUCCCUCUAGAGGUAAAAUCCUGUUUGUUUCUAUGCGUUCUCUUACCACUCAUCUGGUAUUGCAACAACAGUAAAUAUUUUUACAGUAAAAUCUUUUAGCUGUCACUUACUGGUGAACAAAUACACAAAUAACCAUGGUAGGGCAUUUGUCUGUGUGCCUCCUAGCAGCUUGAUUUGGGCUUACUACAAGCACCGGUGUCCCCAAGGCAAUGUGGAGCAUGAUUAUGACAGAGAAGAUGUUAUCUGAUACUGUGCAAGGACUAGGAAGCAUCAGUUAAUACCCCAGGUGCCUCUUGUAAACGAAAAUGUCAGCAUUGGAAAUGACACCUCCAUGUCUCUCCAAACUCAUUGAUGAUAAAGUCAUCUAAUUACAGCAGACUACCAGAAGAGCAUCUCCAGCAGUACUCUCAGCACUUGUGUCAGAGAAAUGAUGGGAGUUAUGCAAUGUGAAUUAUUUCCAAACUAAAAAAAAAAAAAUAGGAAAUCAAUAAUAAAAUGAGUGUGUAAAAGUGAUAGAUUAAAAAGUGAGUCUCAUAAAAGUGAACUGAGUUCAGUAAAGCCAAAUGAGAUACUAUGGCCUCUUUUUAUUUGGCUCUCUGUAAUCUUGUUAAUUUUAGAUCCUGAUAGCUCAAAAGCUUUAUAUAAUGAGAUUACUUAAGAUAAUUAGGUAUGUGAUGCUGAUGUAAAGGAAAUUCCAGCAGAUAUCGUAUAUAAACUGUUGAAGAAUUGCUGUGGGUACAGUUCUUGGAAAUUGGAGUUGGGGAGAAGAUAAUUAUUGUAGAAAACUUGUUGGUGUUAGCUGGUAGUUACAUAAAGCUGUCUAGGUCUGUUAAAGGCAAACCUGUUUCCUCAGAAAUUAGGCAGCAUUUUCCUAACAAAGAUAUCACUUGGCAUUUCUGCUGGUGUGAAUCUAAAAAGAAUAACAUUCUCUUCAGAGAAGAAGAAAAAUAACAUAUGUGCCCAUACAUAUGGAACUAGAAUUUGGAUAGCACUCUGUUUAAAAUGAGAAGACAACAGAUGUAAAGAAUCAAAGUCAGAUUCAGAGUGUCGGGUAUAUGGCUUUUUCCUGCAGUUCUCCCUUUAAGACCACUGAGGGUUUGGGGAAUGUGAGUUCAGUGAUGGAUGGAGGUACAAGUGGCAUCAUAGGAGCCUGUAGCACCAUGCAAGACUUGCCUCUGGAACAGGCCAUCAACUCCUGAUGGAUCUGGAGGUAAAGCCAGAGCUAUGAAGAGACCUGGAGGACGGCCUCAUGUAGCCCAAGAGCCAGUUACCCAUGGUGCUCAGCUUGGAGAGGGAUGGGAGGCUGGAGAACACUUGCACAAACUUCAAUGCUCUACAAAGGAAAGAGAAUGUAAGCUUGCACUGUUUGCAAUGAGAAGCAAAGGAGGAUUCAGGCUUAUACCCUUUUUUUACUCUUCUCCUAACACGUUUCUAUUCAAAGUCUUGUUUGAAGAUAUAGGCACUCUUCAUUUUCGCUAAGGGAAACACAGAGUCAAAUGGCAACACAGCAGCGGUUCUAGUUCAUGUAGGCCAUUUGGUGCUUCCUCUGGAGUCCAAAGUAAAAUCUGAAUGUUGUCAGUGUCCCUGGAAAGCAUGAAGAGACAACUUUGGAGAAGAUACAACUAUGAAACUCCUUCUCUGAAACAGUCACACAUGUUGGGCUGUAGCGAUGCUGCCUGCACUACUCCACUUCUGUGCAGUGGAACAUCCAACUGAUUGAUUCACUAAUGCAAAGGAAAAGGAGAAUAAAAUGGUGAAAAGAAAUGCAUAGAAUUAGUACAGAGUCAGGUGUAUAAGGACUUCCUUUACAAUACCUACAUGUCCAGUCUACAGAGGACCUAAGUGCAAGAGUCUUCUUAUCAUGGAAGUUAACUACGAAUUGCAAAAUGUAAGCAGUAUGGUAGAGGUACAGAUGCUGUAGCAUGGCACAGGUUUAGCAAGUCAAGCAGGAGCCACAUGGAUGUACCCUAAAAUAUACUGAGCUACUCCAAAGGAAAACCCAUCUGAACAUCAUUUGUUGGAGAAGCUGUAGCAGAAAUGCCUUGACUUCUGAGAAAAGUUUUGCUGAAGCUCAUCAAAUUGCGACAGAAAACUAGUGUCUGGUGAUCAUCCAAAGCUCCAAAUCCAUCAGACAGUUUCCUUCCAUGAUGAAAAGUACUUCAUGAGAAAUCUAGGGCUGAGAGCAUCUCAUCUCAUCUUGAACUGGGCAGGUGAUCUUCAGAAAAACCGAAACUAAACUGAAAUGCCUAACUUGUAGUUCAUACGAUUUAAGAAUUUGAACUCUGUUGUUGUAUGGAGUCCUCAGUUUGCUUCCAUCACGUGGCUGUGUUUGUUUCUUAUUGCUUAGUGGUAUGGUUAAAGCCCAUGCAGUGAAUCUCUACUGACAUGCAGAACGUUUUUUGUUCAUGAUUGAGGAACAUGAUAUUUGUUCAUGAUACUGCCAUGCAAAUUUUACAUUCAUCUCCUCAGGUUCCUUUGGGAACGAGUUCCACUAUUUAAUUAUGAAUUGUAUGAAAAAAAAUGAUUUAUAUUAAUUUUAUUAAUUAAUCUUUCUGAUCAUUUUAUUUCAGACUAUUUCUCGGCAGUAAUACAUAGAAUUGCAAAUAAUUAUUUGCAAUUUUUCUAAUCUGUUCAGUGCCAAGCUAGGUCCUUUUCUUCCCUCUCUGUAAUUCCUAUAGUCUAUAAUUUUGAAUGUGUGGUUAUGUUUUUUUUUCUUUUUUACCCUAAAUGCAUUACUUUGUAUUCAUUAAUAGUUAAAUUCAAUUGCAAUCUUACAACACUGUCACUCAGCAUUCUGAGAUCCUUUUGUGAGUCUUUGAAAUCAACACAGAACUGACAAUUC
rnacentral:lncRNA from 7 species